CAGCUAAUGAUGAAAGCUCGGUGUACAGUGCUUGCAGAGAAAAUUGUUUGGGCCGUGAGGUGUUCCAUCGUCAGGACAGUCAUAGCCUCAAUGCACCACAAAUUUUGGCCUAAUUUUCAUUAUGGUAAAAAGCACGAAAGGCCAUAAAUUUUGAAAGAAAAAUUGUGGAUGAGAUUUUUGUAGUCAGUCCAAAACAAAGAGAGAGUCAUAAUAAGACCGCACAACCAAGAAACUUGAAAAAAAAUAAAGAAAAGAUUUAAUAAGGAAUCGAGAAAACAAUUGGGAAUUGAGGAAAAAUGCUGUUGGUAAGCCAAGGUCCGGGAGGAGCUCUGUCAGCCAGAAGAUGUACUCGCAUAUCCCCUCUUCAAUUCACCCACAAAAAUCCACCUCUUUUCUCUAACAUCACUGGACCAAAAUUCAUAUCCAAGAGACCACCCUUUUAUCCCAAUCUCGCUAAGGUUGAUGGAGGUGUAGAUUCUACCUCUGCAACCAAGCAACCUCUUUCUAACAACAAUUCAGCUCCUCCUCCUCCCCCUUUUAGCAGGGACGACCCUGUUUUCGUGGGUCCAGAUAAUGUUCCUUUGGAAGGCGUCAUCCAGUUCGAGAAGCCCACCUCUUCUUCACGUCUGGACAAAUGGGGUCGAGUGGCUUUAUUUUCUGGUGGAGAUGUAUUGGCUUUGCUUUUGUUCUCUGCAAUUGGGAGAUUUAGCCAUGGCUUCUCUGUUUUUGACUUUGAGACGCUGCGCACUGCUGACCCUUUUAUUGCUGGUUGGUUUUUGGGCGCUUACUUCCUUGGGGGUUAUGGAGAAGAUGGCCGUGGAAUGAAUGGUGUUUCUAAAGCAGUUAUUGCUGCCCUUAAAUCAUGGGCUCUGGGGAUUCCACUGGGAUUAGUCAUAAGGGCAGUAACAUCAGGACACAUUCCGCCGUAUACUUUUAUCUUAGUAACAAUGGGAAGCACUACUGUUUUACUUAUUGGAUGGAGAGCACUAUUAUCGACCAUUCUUCCUAAUAAUGAGAGUAAGAAGGAUGAUGUAUACCGGAGUGGUAGUCCCUUUGAACUAUUUGAGGUAUUCAGUUUUCAUGCUUAAGUAAUGUUUCCACCUUGACCUAUGCUAGUUCUUGGUGAAGAAAUUGUUAUUUUCGUUUUUGGGUAAUACUUGCAAAUCAUUUCAGAUGGAGAUGCUUGCUGUACUCCAUAAGAGCUUUCAUUAUGAAGAAACUGCAAAUUUCUGUUUUAUUUCUUUGUAUAAUGAUUUGACCUCUGCAAGCAUAAUUGUUUGUUCUAGCAUUUAAAAAAAAUGAAUAUUUUCAAUUACAUUUUUCAAAAUUUCAUAAGUGCAGCGUGUUCAACAAGACUUGAAAAACAUAUUGGCUGCUUCUUUCAUUCUUCUUUAUUUUAAAAUUGCAUGUCCUUGCAUGUGUUUUAUUUGUUUCUUUGGUGGCUUUGAGUUGGCUUUUAUGCAUCUUCUAAUACUUUGCGAUGUUGAUUGCUAAUAUUACUAAUGGUUGCAGUUGCUCACAUCAUUAGUACGGAGGUGGUGAUUAUGAUAGCUUGCGUGAUGUUAUUUAUUUUCUCUCAAGGCAUCAACUUUUUCUGUUUUUUGACUUCAUACUCUUUGUAGUUACCAGCUACGAAUUUAACAGGUAUGACAAAACUCCUGGAUUGAUGUUAAUCAUAUAUGCUCAUUGAAUCUUGAAUUUCAAUAUUUUUCUUGUGCUUCCCUUUGAAUGUAUUCUUUUUGUUGCUGUUCAAUUUUAAGAUAUAAAAAAUGGCAUAUCAAGUUUAAGUGCCAGAGAUCAUUUAGAUUGGUUUAUACCAAACUCUUGAGUCUUAUUGUUAUGAACUCUGGUUGACCUAAACAUAUUCUAUGGAAAACUGCUGUAAAAUAUGAAGACUGUGGACUUGUUCACUUGUGAAAACUAUAGUAGUUUAAUGAAAAAGUUCUUUGAGAAAACUAAAAAACAAAAGUUAUGUGUUCUGAUAUGUUAGUUUUCGAAAAUUUAGCUAUGAUUCCAUUGUUUUCUUUUAUAGUAAGAGUCUUGUUUUCCAAAUGGAAAAUAAUGACUUGUCAAUAAUCAAAAUUAUACUAUAAUUUUUUCAUAAUUAAAAUUGAAUGAUUAUUUAGGAAAAUAUUUAUUUACGGUAAUAAGGUCAUUUAUACUGCUGUAAAAUAAAUGAAUAACACAUAUUAAAAAAUUUAAAAGUAAAAUAAGUUUCUAAGUAUAUUUUAUAAUUAUUUUUUUAAUUAUGAAAGAUAUGAAUUUUUUUAAUUAGAAAACUCUUGUAUAAUAUUGAAAACAUACUAUAGUUGAAGCAUAUUCAAAGUAGGAGCCUGUAGUGUUUAAGCUGCCUCUGGAUAGGCAAAGUUUUCCAUCAUUUUGAGAAUUUUCGGAAGCACAAUUAUUUAUCAUACAUAAGCCUAUUAGUAUUAUCACAAGCGAAUGUUGUUAAAUGAGAUCAAAUGAUUGAAUGUUGUUAAACGAUAUCAACUAUCAUUUUAAUUUUAUCAGCAUGGUGUUAUUUCUACAAUGCAAUACAAGGCCUAAAAGAAAGAGAAAUUACAUUCCCAAUAGUUUACUGUAUGCAUGAUUUUCAGCAAUUACCAUCUCUACAAUAAAUAUAUGGAUAGCCAAGUAUCGUAUAGAAUCAGAAAAGGUAAGGCUAUGGAUAAAGCUUGAGGUUGUUGGGCUAGUUUUGCCAUGAGAAGGGUGUCAAGAUCAUGGUUCAUAAUUUCUUUUUCCUCUUCACUUACCAGGGAUAAUAAAUUCAUUAUAUUUCUUCACAUUUUGUUUUUUCCUGGUGAAGGUUGUGUCGUGUAAUGUCGCAUAUCGUCUCUGCCUUCUAGGGCCAUGUAUGGGAAACAAAAGUGUGCAUGAGAAAUUGGGUGAUGUAUAUUUAGCAUGUAUGAACUACCCCCUUAGGGUAAAAAAAUGGAUAUUUUAUUCUGAUUCUGCUGCUGAUGCCGGAACAGAUGUCUGGAAUGUUUGUCUGAUUCGUCUAUUGUCUAAAAUGAUGCUGAUGCAUAGGGGGCACGUACCUUGAUAACUCAGUUUUGCUUUUUG
rnacentral:misc_RNA from 1 species